rnacentral:rRNA from 1 species
GUCAUGGCUCAGGAUGAACGCUAGCUACAGGCUUAACACAUGCAAGUCGAGGGGCAUCAGUUUGGUUUGCUUGCAAACCAAAGCUGGCGACCGGCGCACGGGUGAGUAACACGUAUCCAACCUGCCUCAUACUCGGGGAUAGCCUUUCGAAAGAAAGAUUAAUAUCCGAUAGCAUAUAUUUCCCGCAUGGGUUUUAUAUUAAAGAAAUUCGGUAUGAGAUGGGGAUGCGUUCCAUUAGUUUGUUGGG